GGUUUUUACCACAGCAACCCUUUAUGCCCUAUUUGAGCAUAAUUAUACAUGAGCAGAUCUAGGAUAUAUUGUAAAGAUCAGAUGGUCUAAACUGGAGACUUACUACUCAAGAUGCAUGGACCAGCAGCAAUGGCAUCAUCAGGGAGCUUGUUGGAAGUACAGAAUCUCAGACUUUCGAGUAUUUUACCAUGAACAAAGCAAUAUGCAUGCAGCACAAUAUGAGCCACAGAGCAGGUGUUCAAAGACG